UGUGUGUGUGUGUAUGUGUG
rnacentral:miRNA from 1 species